UGCGGAGGAUGCAAGCGUUAUCCGGACUUAUUGGGUUUAAAGGGUGCGCAGGUUGUUUGAUAAGUCAGUGGUGAAAGUCUGUCGCUUAACGGUAGGAUUGCCAUUGAUACUGUUGGACUUGAAUAUGGAUGAGGUAGGCGGAAUGUGUAGUGUAGCGGUGAAAUGCAUAGAUAUUACACAGAACACCGAUUGCGAAGGCAGCUUACUAAUCCAUCAUUGACGCUGAGGCACGAAAGCGUGGGGAGUCAAACA
rnacentral:rRNA from 1 species